rnacentral:lncRNA from 1 species
UAAAAAUGGAAUGCAUGCUACAUCAAAAAUGACAAACAAGCUUGUGUUUAUUACUCGGUUCACUUGUUAUAUCUUGAAGUGUUUCGUAUGUCAUUGUUAUGCUCUCAAACACUCUUAUGCCUUUGAUAUGUACCUAAAUGCUUCAUGUGCCAUUUGAUACAUGCCUAAAUGUUUCUUUUGCCAAUGAAAUGCUCCAAUUUCCUUUCUCCUAUUGUUAUGUCUAAUGCCUGUUUUGAACGAGGUAAACCUUUGUGAUUUUAUAUCAAAUGAGAUGACUUCAAAUGAACAUUUGUAUUUCUACUUUUGUAUCUUGAUACCAAGCUUGCUUGAACUUCUCCUAUCGUCAUGGAUAUGUUAGACGCUUGCUGAGCUCUUUAUGCUCACCCCGUUGCUAUAUAAACUUUUCAGGGUAGCUUGUCACGCACUGAAAAGCUAGAAUUGGGUUAAAGCAGUGAAAGGCUAGAAGAUUUUUGAGCUAAUCUUUGUUGGAUGAUGGUUUUUGUUGUAUAGUAAACUUUACUUCUGAUGUAAUGUUCAGGAUCUAUUGAUACUUAUGUGUUGUAAAAUGUCAAAGGACCGCUCAUGUGUAUGGAAUGAUAAGUUUAAGAUGUGUAAGGAUAAGAACUCAUGGUAAAUAAUUAUCUUUUUGUGAUUGUAUAUACUUCUAUGAUUAUGGAUUUGUGGUGUGGUUGAUGUUUAGUUGAGUUGUCUUUGGAUUUUGUGAAUCUCUGAGUGAAGUGGAUUAUGAUUAUGUAAUGUACUGGUUUAUGAAUUGUGAAUAUUGAUUUUUGAAUGAUUCUUAGUAUCCUCAAAUUGUUAGAUUGGAUCCUGGAUUGA